AGUCGUAACAAGGUCUCCGUUGGUGAACCAGCGGAGGGAUCAUUACAGAACAGGCAUUUAUGAUGUCAUGGCUCUGCCAACCCCGCGAACUUUAUACAUGUACGUUGCCUCGGCGGACACUCGACCCCAUCUCCUGCCCCAGCCCGGCUCGCCCGGGAGGGGGGAGGCAGGCGGUGGCCGAGCCCGCCGGCCGGCAUAUACGCAAACGCUCUUAACAAGCUCCGCGCUCCUUCUGAACAGAAAACUUUAACGAGUAAAAACUUUUGGCAACGGAUCUCUUGGCUCUGGCAUCGAUGAAGAACGCAGCGAAAUGCGAUACGUAGUGUGAAUUGCAGAAUUCAGUGAACCAUCGAAUCUUUGAACGCACCUUGCGGCCGCCGGUAAUCCGGCGGCCAUGCCCGUCCGAGCGUCGUUUCGACCCUCGGGACCCAUCUCCCCCCGGGGAGAAGGGGCCCCGGCCUUGGGCCAGCGCAAGCGCGUCCCCCCUCCGGGGGGUGGCGCGGCGCGGCCCGCAGACCAGCGGCGGCAGCACCGGCGAUGUCCCCUGCGCAGUAGCUUAUACAACUCGCAUUGGUCUCCCGGCGCGGCUCGCCUCGCAACCAAAACUUCUAAAGGUCGACCUCGGAUCGGGUAGGGAUACCCGCUAAACUUAAGCAUAUCAAUAAGCGGAGGAA
rnacentral:misc_RNA from 1 species